rnacentral:rRNA from 1 species
UACAGAGGGUGCGAGCGUUAAUCGGAAUUACUGGGCAUAAAGCGCGCGCAGGCGGCCUUUUAAGUCUGCUGGUGAAAUGCCGGGGCUCAACCCCGUGCCCGCCACAGAUACUGGGAGGCUGGAGACGAGUAGAGGCAAGCGGAAUUCCGGGUGUAGCGGUGGAAUGCGUAGAGAUCCGGAAGAACACCGGAGGCGAAGGCGGCUUGCUGGGCUCGGUCUGACGCUGAGGCGCGAAAGCGUGGGGAGCGAACAGG